UUAAGAAAAUAAGUGCAAGCGGUGGAUGCCUUGGCAUUCAGAGGCGAUGAAGGACGUGAUAAUCUGCGAUAAGCUUCGGUUAGCUGGUAAAUGAGCUAUGACCCGGAGAUUUCCGAAUGGGGGAACCCACCUGACACAAGUUGGGUACUCACUCGAUAUAGAGUGUAGAGCGAACGAGGGGAACUGAAACAUCUAAGUACCCUUAGGAAGAGAAAUCAAUUGAGAUUCCCGUAGUAGUGGCGAGCGAAGUGGGAAGAGCCUGGUAUGAUUUAGCUGUAAUUAUAGUAGAACAAGUUGGGAAGCUUGACGAUAGAGGGUGAUAGUCCCGUAUACGAAAUAAUCACAGUGGAACUAAGCAUACGAACAAGUAGGACGGGGCACGUGGAACCUUGUCUGAAUAUGGGGGGACCAUCCUCCAAGGCUAAAUACUCCUGAAUGACCGAUAGUGAACUAGUACCGUGAGGGAAAGGUGAAAAGAACCCUUAUAAAGGGAGUGAAAUAGAAUCUGAAACCGCUUGCAUACAAGCAGUAGGAGCAUGAUUUAGUCAUGUGACUGCGUACCUUUUGUAUAAUGGGUCAGCGAGUUAUUUUUAGUGGCGAGGAUAACUGAAUAAGGG
rnacentral:rRNA from 1 species